GGCUACACACGUGCUACAAUGGACAAUACAAAGGGCAGCGAAACCGCGAGGUCAAGCAAAUCCCAUAAAGUUGUUCUCAGUUCGGAUUGUAGUCUGCAACUCGACUACAUGAAGCUGGAAUCGCUAGUAAUCGUAGAUCAGCAUGCUACGGUGAAUACGUUCCCGGGUCUUGUACACACCGCCCGUCACACCACGAGAGUUUGUAACACCCGAAGCCGGUGGAGUAACCUUUUAGGAGCUAGCCGUCGAAGGUGGGACAAAUGAUUGGGGUGAAGUCGUAACAAGGUAGCCGUAUCGGAAGGUGCGGCUGGAUCACCUCCUUU
rnacentral:rRNA from 1 species